CAGUUAAUGUGUGUAUAUUAUUAUUUUAAUACAGUAUAAUAGGUGAUGCUGGUUUUUGUACCAGUAAGUCAUUACAGCUGCUAGGAUGGAAUGGGUGUGGUCUAUCUUUUAUUAUGUGACAGGAAACAAAAAUCAAUUGGUGAAGGUCACUGUAGUACUUAUAAACUGAUUCAACCACAUGCAGUUAAGUGUGGACACAAUUGAGCUGGUUUCUGAACCACUUCAAGUUGAACUGGCUUGUAUGUAUAGAUGUGACUUAAUUUUUGUGAUUUUUUGGUAAAUUUCAAAUAUGCAGUUUUUGUGAUUUUUGAUAUUAUAUUUAAAAAUUAAUUAUUAAACAUAAACACUUUUUGAAUUUACUAUAUCAAGAGUAAAUUUACCCUUGACUGUAUCACAUACAAA